rnacentral:rRNA from 1 species
AAGGCCCAGACAGCCAGGAUGUUGGCUUAGAAGCAGCCAUCAUUUAAAGAAAGCGUAAUAGCUCACUGGUCGAGUCGGCCUGCGCGGAAGAUGUAACGGGGCUAAACCAUGCACCGAAGCUGCGGCAGCGACGCUGAUGCGUUGUUGGGUAGGGGAGCGUUCUGUAAGCCUGUGAAGGUGUGCUGUGAGGCAUGCUGGAGGUAUCAGAAGUGCGAAUGCUGACAUAAGUAACGAUAAAGCGGGUGAAAAGCCCGCUCGCCGGAAGACCAAGGGUUCCUGUCCAACGUUAAUCGGGGCAGGGUGAGUCGACCCCUAAGGCGAGGCCGAAAGGCGUAGUCGAUGGGAAACAGGUUAAUAUUCCUGUACUUGGUGUUACUGCGAAGGGGGGACGGAGAAGGCUAUGUUGGCCGGGCGACGGUUGUCCCGGUUUAAGCGUGUAGGCUGGUUUUCCAGGCAAAUCCGGAAAAUCAAGGCUGAGGCGUGAUGACGAGGCACUACGGUGCUGAAGCAACAAAUGCCCUGCUUCCAGGAAAAGCCUCUAAGCAUCAGGUAACAUCAAAUCGUACCCCAAACCGACACAGGUGGUCAGGUAGAGAAUACCAAGGCGCUUGAGAGAACUCGGGUGAAGGAACUAGGCAAAAUGGUGCCGUAACUUCGGGAGAAGGCACGC